rnacentral:tRNA from 1 species
GCAAUAAUAGCUUAAGGCAGAGCAUUGGUCUUGUAAGCCAAAGAUGAGUUUAUUUCUCUUAUUGCU